UACGCUCUCCUAUACAAAGUGCGUUUGUGCAUUAGUGGAAAAGUAUUUCACCUGAGGUAAAUUUAAAUUUGAAAACUUGCUUGUGACAAAAUACUUUGUUGGUGGCAAGUAUUUUGUUUUACAAAUACAUAUCAUGUACAUUAUACACAUAAUAUUAUGUUUAUCAAAUUGCAUUGUAGCCAAUUGAUGAAUUAAUUCAUUUUAUAAUGUCUACGAAUUAUUUAUUUAUUUAUAUAAACAUAUUUUGUUCUUAUAUUUUUUGUUUUUUAUAUUAUUUGUAUUUUUUCUGAUUUUAUUAAUUAAUUUUGGGCUCUUUAAAUAUGAACUUUUAACAAUACUACAGUUGAUUUUUAAGAGCCCAAAAUUAUUAUUUUAAAUGAUGAAUAUUAAUUUUGUUAUAUUGAUGCUUUAGUGUUAUUUUCUCGAAAUGAGAUUGACUUAAGUUAUUUGUUGUACAAUCUAAUAAUAAUAAUAAUAAUAAUAAUAAUAAUAAUAAUAAUAAUAAUAAUAAUAUGAUGAUGAUGAUGAUGAUGAUGAUGAUGAUGAUGAUGAUGAUGAUGAUGAUGAUGAUGAUAAUUAUUAUUAUAAUAAUUAUUAUUAUAUAUAUUAAUAAUAAUAAUAAUAAUAAUUAUAAUAAUAAUAAUAAUAAUAAUUAUUAUUAUUAAUAUUAUUAUUAUUAUUGUUAUUAUUAUUAUUAUUAUUAUACAAUACUAUUAAAUUUGAUAAUAUACUCAUUAAGUUGAUAAUAUUGUUAUUAUACAUUAUUUUAAAUCAAAUACUAACAAUUAAAUUAAUAUUUUUUUGUUAUUAAUUAAAUUAACUCAUAAAUAAUGACGUUUUGAUAUUUUUACAUAAUUUAUAAUUUUAAAAAGAAAUAAAUAUAUCGUGACCCCUGCAUCGUUCGAGAGGUCGCCUAAUUAAUAUGUACAAAUAGAUUAAUUAUUGUUUUAUAUAUUCAGAUAUAUAUAUUUCACAAUAAAAUCUAUAUAAUAUACUACUCCCUCCAUCCACUAAUUUAUGACCUAGGGGAGGAAACACGGGUUUUAAGAAAAAGUGUAUUUAGUUGAGUGGAGAAAGGGACCUAAAGUGUAUUGUUUAUUAGUUGAGUGGAAAAAAAAUGUAUUGUUUAUUGGGACCCAUCAAUCAAAAAAUGUAUAAAGAGUUACUAAAAAUGGGUAGGACAUAAAUUGGUGGAUGGACCAAAAAGGAAAGUAGGUCAUAAAUUAGUGGACGGAGGGAAUAUAAAAGAGGAGUUUUUUGCCUCCAUUUUUUCCCUCUUUUUUCUCUCUCUUCUCCCACAAUUUUUUUUCACUAUUUUUUAUAUAAUUUAAUUCUUUUUUAAAUAUCGUCAAAUUUGAUUUAUGAACCAAUAUUUAAUAUGCAUUUUAGAUUUAAGUUCGAGAUAAAAUACUUAAUAUGGUAUAAAAAUCAUCAAAAAAGAUUUUAAAACGAAUAAGUUACGAAAACGUUAAAAUAUAUUAUUUCCUCUCUUUUUGUUAAAAUUUUACAAAUUUUUAUUUUGGUUUGUGUAUGAAAAUAUUUAUUUAUUUAUUUAUUUAUUAUCACGUGUAAUGCUCUAUAAUAAUAAUGUGUGAUGUUAAUUUUCAUCAUCAAAUAAUUUACAAUUAUUUAAUAACUAUAAUUAUCAUUACUUUGUACAUAGUUGAAAAUUUAGGUUUUUAAAUUCAUAAUUUUAUUGAGCAAUUGAUAUGGAUUAUUUGAUUUUAUUUUUAAAACAUAUUUUAGAUUUAUUUAUAUUUUAAUUCCAUUUAAUAAUUAUAUUUAUUUAUUUAAGCAUGUCGUUUAAUUUUGAAAUAAUCCUCAUUGGGCUUAUGUCCGGGGCUGUUUUCAUAUUAAGGGCGGGAGUGACUUUGCUUUUGAAGCAGAAUUGUUAGCUAUCAUUAUUGCCAUCAAUAUUGAUCUGAUCAUGAUCAUGAUUGGUUGCAUCUUUGGGUUGAAGCGGAUUCUAUGUAUGUGGUGCAACUUCUGGAAUCUCGUUCCAAGGAUGUUCCUUGGCGUUUUAUGGCUUAUUGGAUGCAUACUCUUCGGCUUCUUCAGGACUUUAAUUUGAUGGUUACCCAUAUUUAUAGAGAGGGUAAUAAGCCGGGUGAUAUUAUGGCUAAUGGGGAGAGGCAGGAAGGCUGGUGGCCUUUUGCCAUUGAGGAGAUUCGUCAUGCGGUUGCUCAGGAUAUGUCAACUCAUAGUCAUGUUAGAGUUGUUCAUUAAUUGUGGGUUGGUGUGUUUGAGUCCCGCGGCAUGUUCGAUUUUUUAGGCUAAGUUGGGUCUGAUGCCGGUUAGUCGUUUGUUGGAUGGUCGGUGUUUUUGUCUUUCUUUACGUUUCGUCUUUUGGUUUUUUCAUUGGUCUUUGUUAUGGGAGAAGAGAGCCGGGAUUUCUUUAGGGCGAUGGUUCGGCCGGAGCUCUAGAAGUUAUCUCAACUCAGCUUUCUUGCCCAUCUAUUUCGUUCUUUUCUUUGUAGGCGAGUACUCUUUUUCUUCCCUCUUUGGGAGAUUUGAAUGAGGCUCGGCCCUUAGUCUGCUCUCCUAUGCUGUCAAGGGUUGUCUAGGUUCCUUUUUCCCUUUUUUUUUUAAUAAAACCGUAUUUUAAUAAUAAUUUCGAUAUUCGUCGUGCAUCGCACUGAUGGGUGUACUAAUUUUGAUAAUAUAUUAAUAGGGGUAAAGUGAUUGGUAGAACAUGCAGCACAGCGUGACUGAUGAUGGCAUGGGUUCGAUUUAUGGCGAAACUACUCAAUGACAUAAGUUAAUUUAUAUUUAAAAAGUAUUAGUAUAUGACAUACUUUUAUUUAUAUAUUUAUUUUAAUUCUAAUACCUCAUAAAUUGUUAGUGAUAUUAUUAAUUUUAUAGAUUAUAUAAAAAUUAAAAUUUGAUUAUUUUUUAUUAAUUAUUUAAAAUUAAAAGAAAAUAAACAAAUCAAACAUUGAUAGUUGAUAUUUAAGAUGAUC
rnacentral:lncRNA from 1 species